AGCAAUCGUCUGUUAAUUCGUUCCCAAGAAGAAUCCUUGUCAGCAUAACAACACGUGCCCUUCUCGUUCCGCCUUCGUUGCAUCAUGGUCGUAUACCAUCCUGGUCCUUCGAAGGAUGCAGAUCCUGACGCCGUGUGACUCGCGAAUAUGUAGAAUCUCAAGUCAGUUACUAUGUAUCUUUCACAGUGAACAGACUGAAGGGUUGUGUCAUCGAUCCAGGUUCAGGAAGUCCUCUCCUGGGAUUUCAUUGUACUGUUGACCACGGGUACAGUUACGACCUACCGCAUGUCAUAGCUUGAAAUAUAAAAGAGCAGUCCUGAUAAAUCGUCUUGGUCAUUAGGUCCACAGUCAUCAACCAAACCAUCAAUCCCAUUCAACGUACGACCGGCAAAACACCCAACGCACUCUCCAGCGAUCGGCCAUUAAAAAUAGUCAUUGGUAGAUGGCCGAGCCGCAAGCUACACCGCUGCUACCCUCUGACGGUGAAAUUCAUAACAAAAUACACGUUCACCCUCUGUCCCACGUAAAUCCACAGGAAACGGAAUUAACGUGGGCGUAAGUGGCGUUUUUAAGUCAGUGACGUCAAUAGGAGCAUCCAAUGAGAAGGUGGAUGCGCAACUGGACUUAGUAGAGUGGUAAGAUGCGUAGGGUGGUUAUUAUUCUCGAACGGAGGAAUAAAGAUCAAUUAACACUAUCGAUACCCGUGAGCCAAAAAAUAAUGAGAUAUUAGAAGCUGUCAGGCAAUGAUUAACGGGCGCGAUGAUCCUAGCAAUAGAAUUCUUCAGGGACGAUUAUGAUCAAAUACGAAACAUGGAAAACGUCCAAAGAUAGCGGUGUGCAGUUUUUAUAUUUCUUUUUGUUCCUAUCUUUUUUUUUUCAUAUGGUUGUGCUCCUCUGUUGCUGAACGCUCUUCCGCCCAUAUGAACUUCCUCUGCGGUCGAUACAAUUUCACCUCGCAACUGGCGAACGCUAUCGUCACUACCACCCACCGUUACGGCGUCCAUCUACGUACAUUACGUACACCAUCCUACGCUCGAGGGUGGCGUGCAAUAAGAGUGGAUGUGCUACCCAUCUGUCAAAACCACCUUCCAUUAUCAAACUCCUACGCAAGCACCUCCAGCGCCCUCUCGUCGUGGAGGAAUGUACGAGAACUACUAUUUCGAGGUAAAUUUGUAACGGAAUGGAAUGUAACUUGUUAUGAGGAUCCUCUGGGUAUGUUUGACAUUUUAUAGAGGAUUUAUCUCUUUGUAUAAUUGACUGUAGGGGUUGGUAACCUGUUAUGAGGAUCCUCUGGGUAUGUUUGACAUUUUAUAGAGGAUUUAUCUCUUUGUAUAAUUGACUGUAGGGGUUGGUAACCUGUUAUGAGGAUCCUCUGGGUAUGUUUGACAUUUUAUAGAGGAUUUAUCUCUUUGUAUAAUUGACUGUAGGGGUUGGUAACCUGUUAUGAGGAUCCUCUGGGUAUGUUUGACAUUUUAUAGAGGAUUUAUCUCUUUGUAUAAUUGACUGUAGGGGUUGGUAACCUGUUAUGAGGAUCCUCUGGGUAUGUUUGACAUUUUAUAGAGGAUUUAUCUCUUUGUAUAAUUGACUGUAGGGGUUGGUAACCUGUUAUGAGGAUCCUCUGGGUAUGUUUGACAUUUUAUAGAGGAUUUAUCUUUUUGUAUAAUUGACUUUAGGGGUUGGCCAUUGAUAGUAACGAACGACAGGUAAUCCUUUUAGGAAAUACGAAGACAGGUACUGCGUCAUGAUUUGUGAAUAGACUAGGGACGGACGAGAAGGAACAAUAAUGUCUUGGUCUGAGGUCGUGUAAUUUUGAAUAGUCUUGUAUAUUCAUAAACUGAGUAAUUCCGCGAAGUGUUAUCAAUGCUGUAUAGCUCAAAUCGUUUAAUCACUUUCAAAUUAUUAGAUGUAACUGAUAGUGUACAUUAUUUUGUAUAACUUUAGUCAACUGCUAUUUUUUAUAUAAUCAUAUGGGGUACAAGGAUACUCGAUCCGAAUCUCUCCAAUACAUACACGUUCAUAAAUUACCAUCUUGAAAAUAUUCACCGCGAAUAAUAAAAUGCCGGGGUUAAAAAUUUACUAUCUAUGACAGCUAGUAUUCGUUAGUCGAUAAAAAUGUAAAUCUAAGCUAUGAUCUAAGUCUAUAUAUUUCACGAUCGAUGGAUCUCGAAGGUAUUUUAAGCGUCUGAAACGUCUCCCGAGUUGUCUGCUCUAAGCGUUUGUUGUCAAAGUUGUGUCUAAAUAUAAAUUACAGGAAAUAAGACGUGCCAAGAGCGCAGGUACUCAGAUUCGAUAGGACGAAUAAUUAAUAGCGGGACGCUAGUAUCCGGUGUCUUGCCGUUUUGCACCUAUUCUGUAAAAUCGUGUGCCGGUAGCGUCGUUAAAAAUCGAUGAGUUUCAGAACGUCGCGGCGCAGGUUGUUUGAAAGUCGGGAUGGACGAGGAGUCGAAUGCAGGAAUUUAGUAUGGCAACGCGAAAGAGGGAAUAAGAAGCCGCCGUAGCAGCGAAUGAGUCGAUGAGAAUGGUAGAGAGAUUGUGCAGGGAUAAGGGAGGAAAAAUAGAAUGGAGAGAAGGACCGAACAUCAUGCGGGAGGGAGAAAAGGAUGUAUAGAACAAAAUGGCGGUUGUGUCAGCUACGCUGGCGCCAUCUAACCACAUUUUUCUAAUCCCGCCAUGAAGUAGUUUUCGUUUACCGGACAGACUUUCUUGGUGAGGUUAGCGGCCUUAUUCUGCUUCAAGAAACCUAUAGCUUGCUGUCUAAUUAUGUUUCAGUUUAGAAACUAUAAGUCGAUUUGGAAGUCUCUCGAUUCUCUACUAAAUGCAUAAAGAAUAUUGUUUCAUGUUUUCUGAUUUAUGAAUGUCACCUCUCUUUGAUAUUUUGAGUACAAUAUGUUUGAUUAUAGAAUAUUAUUUACAAUACUGUAAAGUUUAUAUACAUAUUGACCUUGAAAUGUAAAUAUUUAUCAAUAUUGCAAACACAUGUAUAUGUUUGGUUUUAAUUACUUCACUAAAUGUGUGUGUAAAGUCGUACAUCUAAGAAAAUUAUCAAUUUAAAAUCUAGGAUAUUACUUCAAUAAAUUAAUUAUUGUAAUAUAUGUAAGGGAAAGCAUAUACUAUAAUCGUAUACUAGCAGAUUAUUAAAUUUAUAAUGUUACAAUAAAGAGACCAUCUAGUUAAUA